GGCUGGUCCAAAGGUACUGAGAUCUCACAACAAUUGCUUACAGUCCAUUACUGGUCAACUUAUUUGUCUACUCCCCCUCACUACUGCACUUGACUAGUCUUAA
rnacentral:Y_RNA from 1 species